AACAGCUCACAAUAAUUUACAAAACUCAUGAAUAAUAAGAUAUAAAAGACCCCAGGGUUACCAAAAAUGAAAUGAUACAAAAAUAAAAAACCAACAGCCUGAAAAAGACUAAAAUAUAGGCAUAUAGAAUGUGUUGGAUUAAAAAUGAUUCAGAGUCCUCAACCUUCCCCAAUUCUUGGACAGUGAUUUGAUAGUAGAACAUACAUGUUGGAACGUAAUUCUAAAAUCAGCUGGAAUAGCUUUAUGCAUCAGAUUUGCACAAAGCCACAACAAAAAACCCAAAAUACAG
rnacentral:lncRNA from 1 species